GGGUUUAGCUCAGUGGUAGAGUGCAUGCUUAGCAUGUGCAAGGUCCUGGGUUCAAUCCCCAGUAUGUCCA
rnacentral:tRNA from 1 species